rnacentral:rRNA from 1 species
CCAGACUCCUACGGGAGGCAGCAGUGGGGGAUAUUGCACAAUGGGGGGAACCCUGAUGCAGCGACGCCGCGUGGGUGAAGGAGUAUUUCGGUAUGUAAAGCCCUAUCGGCAGGGAAGAAGCAAGACGGUACCUGACUAAGAAGCCCCGGCUAACUACGUGCCAGCAGCCGCGGUAAUACGUAGGGGGCAAGCGUUAUCCGGAUUUACUGGGUGUAAAGGGGGCGCAGACGGCAGCGCAAGCCAGGAGUGAAAGCCCGGGGCCCAACCCCGGGACUGCUCUUGGAACUGCGCGGCUGGAGUGCAGGAGGGGCAGGCGGAAUUCCUGGUGUAGCGGUGAAAUGCGUAGAUAUCAGGAGGAACACCGGCGGCGAGGGCGGCCUGCUGGACCGCGACUGACGUUGAGGCUCGAAAGCGUGGGGAGCGAACAGGAUUAGAUACCCUAGUA